ensembl:lncRNA
CUCCUCCGAGGCUGCGGUGAUUGGCCGGCCAGCGACCGCUCCCAUAAUGCAGCGCAGGGCGCGUCACUGAAAAGAGACCAUCCCAUCUGCGACGCUGCAGCCUUCAUGAGGGAGCGCUCGGCUGGAGAACGCGGCCGAGAUUGUGAUGGCACCACCCUUCGUGGUUGGUAAUGAACAACGCCAACGCGCAGAGCUCGUAUUCUUACCAUUUAGGAAAUCCUAAUGACCAUUUGCAGUUUUCACGCGUAUUUUGGUAUUUCACGCUUUGGAAGUAACAGCUGAAGAGAAGUGAGGCAAAUUUGUGAAAAUUGUGAUCAGUGGUUCGUUGCCACCUGCCUCAGGUGUCUGCUGAGAGGAGCUAACCUCUUUGUGGUGCUAGAGCAAGGUCACUGCAUAAAGAAAAAGAACACAAAUGAAUUAAGUGGACCAUGUCCUCUUUCGCACUGCCCCAGCUAUAAUGCAAAGAGUUGGCUAAGAGUGGAUGCUUUUGGAAAAAGUGAGCAUCUAGUCACUGCCAACAUUCCCUUUAAACUAUGUCUUGCAAAGGUAAACCACCAAGAUUAUGUUUGGGAAGAGAUUCUAUCAGCAGUAGCGCCAAUUGUAAAACGACGAUCGCUAGAUAAAUACAUUGACUGCAAAAGCCUUUUUCAUGAAGUGAGUCAGUUGAUAAGUAGUGGCAAACCCACUGUGCAGCCACGGCCUGUUCCGUUCUAACGGCACUAUUUAGUGACUAUCUCGAGUGCAAGUAAAACUAGCAACUAUGGACUGAGCACGGAAUUCCACGGUAACUGGUAACUAUAAAACGUCUUUCUUUCAGGAAGAAGACCUUCGUGAAAUCUUCACGUUCGCUGUUGAAGGUCUGCCGGAGUUCAUCAGGAGGGACAACCUCGGUGCUCAGAUGGCUUUGGUAUUUCAGCUUCACCUUGAGCUGCUGGUCAGCCUGGGCUUUGCUUUCUCAGCAAAAUCCCACAAGCCCAUUACAACUGUGUGUCCUUCUGGCUCCCUUCUGGGCAGGACGCCCAGCCGCUUGGAUUUGUAAUGAUGCAGGGCCUGGCCAGCCCGGAUCCUACCUUGUCUCACUCAAAGAACAUGACGUCUUAAAGGAACAUGGAGCGGCUCCUGUGAACUACUGUUCCUGGAAACACUAGUCGUCCCAUGGACAGCCCGUCUUGGAAAGCAUAUAGCUUUGUGUCCCCUGCCUGUAUAAGCAACCCCCUCCCUACGCCUGGUAGCGGGUGCACAUUUCCAUCCAGCUGGCCACCACUGGACAUCCGGAUAAGUAAUUCCCAGUAAACCUAUAUGUCUCGUUCCCCAUCUCUGGAUUUUUUCUUCAGUCUCUCUGUGACUUACCCCACACUGCUCACCCAACUGGUCUGUGGCCAGACAAUGCCAAUCAAGUCUCUAGCUCGAACUUUCUUCUUCCAAGUUUGGGCAGACGUUAUUUGGCUAUGUUUGAAUCUUCACAAAAUGUACUGUUAAAGCCAACAGAAUCCUGGUGGGUGACUAUUCUGGACAGCAAAGUUAUGAAGCUUUUUCUCACAGUAUGUGGAAAAAAAGAUUUAGAUAUGGCACAAGAUUCUUUGCAGUGCCUUGCCCAGUUUACUUCUCUUCAUGGACCUAUCUUCCGUCGUGAAGGAUCACAAAUUGAUUAACACACUUCAUUGAAAGAUUACUGAAUACUAUCAAUGAAAUGGAAAUAGAAGAUUCUGAAGUUGUGGGGAUCUCCAGCAUCAUCAGCAAUCUGUUAACAGUAUUUCCUUGAAAUGUUUAAUUGCCGUUCCAAAUGAACUUUUCUCCUCCUUUGUUAACUGCCACACACCUCACUUGUUCUUUUGGGUGAAGUGCUGCAUUGGAAGAAGUCUUGAUAAAGAUGACAUGGCAUAUACCUGGAAGCAUAUGGCAAAAUGCUGGAGUCCUGGCUAACUGCUCCAACAUGAUAAACAUUUCUAUAAAGACUUUUUUACCCAACAUGCUGUUCAAGUUUUCAGUUCUUUUAUUCAGUGCCACCUAGCUGCUCCAAAUGGCACAAGGAAUUUAACUGUCAAUGGUGUGGACUCUCGUGAGGAAGAAGAAAUAGGUGAAUGUCAAGAGGAUGAUCGAGGGCAGUUUUCAGAUCCACAGGCCAGUGAAGGAAUGCUAGGAAGAAUUGCUUCAGAACACUGUAUACCUCUUCUGACAAGAACCUGGUACCUGGUAGACGUUGGAUGUUUCCUUCUCCUGUUCUAGUGAUGAGGACACAACUGAGCAUCUUAAAAGGUAUCCUCGACCCCAUGAAGAGAUUUAAAAGUCAUUCGUAUGUUUUCUGAAAAACUCUUGCAAUCUAUGACUAUGGAUAAUUUAUUUUGUGUAUCAGUAGCUUGUUUUUUUUCAAUUGCUGGGUAGCAUUUCAUUAGGACUGUGCCCCCAUUUGUUUAUCCAUUCCUCAAGUGAGGGGCAUUUCAGGUAUUUUCAGUUGUUGGUGUUUUGAAUAAAACUGUUACAUACAUCCAAGUAUCUAUGUGAACAUAGAUUUUAUUUCCCUUGGAUAAAUAUCUAGGAGUGAGAUGAGUAGAAUGCAUAGUAAGUUAUGUUUAACUUUAUAGAAAACUACCACAUUCUUUUUCAUAAUGGCUGGAUAAUUUUGUAUAUUGACCAGUUAUAUAUGAGAUUUCCAAUUCUGAAUUCUUUU